UACGUAGGGUGCGAGCGUUGUCCGGAAUUAUUGGGCGUAAAGGGCUCGUAGGCGGUCUGUUGCGUCGGGAGUGAAAACUCAGGGCUUAACCCUGAGCCUGCUUCCGAUACGGGCAGACUAGAGGUAUGCAGGGGAGAACGGAAUUCCUGGUGUAGCGGUGAAAUGCGCAGAUAUCAGGAGGAACACCGGUGGCGAAGGCGGAUCUCUGGGCCAUUACUGACGCUGAGGAGCGAAAGCGUGGGGAGCGAACAGG
rnacentral:rRNA from 1 species